AUUGAACGCCGGCGGCAGGCCUAACACAUGCAAGUCGAGCGGAUGAGUGGAGCUUGCUCCAUGAUUCAGCGGCGGACGGGUGAGUAAUGCCUAGGAAUCUGCCUGGUAGUGGGGGACAACGUUUCGAAAGGAACGCUAAUACCGCAUACGUCCUACGGGAGAAAGUGGGGGAUCUUCGGACCUUACGCUAUCAGAUGAGCCUAGGUCGGAUUAGCUAGUUGGUGAGGUAAAGGCUCACCAAGGCGACGAUCCGUAACUGGUCUGAGAGGAUGAUCAGUCACACUGGAACUGAGACACGGUCCAGACUCCUACGGGAGGCAGCAGUGGGGAAUAUUGGACAAUGGGCGAAAGCCUGAUCCAGCCAUGCCGCGUGUGUGAAGAAGGUCUUCGGAUUGUAAAGCACUUUAAGUUGGGAGGAAGGGCAGUAAGUUAAUACCUUGCUGUUUUGACGUUACCAACAGAAUAAGCACCGGCUAACUUCGUGCCAGCCGCCGCGGUAAGAC
rnacentral:rRNA from 1 species